rnacentral:rRNA from 1 species
AACGAACGCUGGCGGCAUGCCUAACACAUGCAAGCCGAACGAGAUCUUCGGGUCUAGUGGCGCACGGGUGCGUAACGCGUGGGAAACUGCCCUUUGGUUCGGAAUAACAGUUGGAAACGACUGCUAAUACCGGAUGAUGACGAAAGUCCAAAGAUUUAUCGCCAGAGGAUGAGCCCGCGUAGGAUUAGCUAGUUGGUGUGGUAAAGGCGCACGAAGGCGACGAUCCUUAGCUGGUCUGAGAGGACGAUCAGCCACACUGGGACUGAGACACGGCCCAGACUCCUACGGGAGGCAGCAGUGGGGAAUAGUGGACAAUGGGCGAAAGCCUGAUCCAGCAAUGCCGCGUGAGUGAUGAAGGCCUUAGGGUUGUAAAGCUCUUUUACCCGGGAUGAUAAUGACAGUACCGGGAGAAUAAGCUCCGGCUAACUCCGUGCCAGCCGCCGCAGUAA